rnacentral:rRNA from 1 species
GACGAACCGUGCGAACGUUGUUCGGAAUCACUGGGCUUAAAGGGCGCGUAGGCGGGCUAUCAAGUCUGGGGUGAAAUGCCGCGGCUCAACCGUGGAACUGCCUUAGAUACUGCCGGCCUAGAGGAAGGUAGGGGCAUGCGGAACUGUAGGUGGAGCGGUGAAAUGCGUUGAUAUCUACAGGAACGCCGGUGGCGAAAGCGGCGUGCUGGACCUUUUCUGACGCUGAGGCGCGAAAGCUAGGGGAGCAAACGGG